rnacentral:rRNA from 1 species
ACUUAAAUUGAAGAGUUUGAUCAUGGCUCAGAUUGAACGCUGGCGGCAGGCCUAACACAUGCAAGUCGAGCGGCAGCGGGAAAGUAGCUUGCUACUUUUGCCGGCGAGCGGCGG